CGCGUAGGCGGCUCGGUAAGUCUGGAGUGAAAGUCCUGCUUUUAAGGUGGGAAUUGCUUUGGAUACUGUCGGGCUUGAGUGCAGGAGAGGUUAGUGGAAUUCCCAGUGUAGCGGUGAAAUGCGUAGAGAUUGGGAGGAACACCAGUGGCGAAGGCGACUAACUGGACUGUAACUGACGCUGAGGAGCGAAAGCGUGGGGAGCGAACA
rnacentral:rRNA from 1 species